rnacentral:rRNA from 1 species
CCUAACGGCCAUCCCACCGCUGGUAACGGCCCAGAUCUCGGUCUGGAUCUGCGGAAGCUAAGCAGGGUCGGCCUGGUUAGGUAUUGGAUGGGAGACCUCCUGGGAAUACGGGUGCUGUAGGCU